GGUUAUUUGUUUUUAUUAUAUAAGUUGGAUGUUCCAUCGAGAUGAAGAGCUAUUAUAAAUUUUAGGAAAGAAAAAGUAGUCGAUUUUCUGUAUUUGGUAACUUCGUAGCUGUUCUUCACUCUCGAAUUGCCCAUUGUAAGUUAAAAAUGGUGGUGAGAGAUUGGCAAUUAAAAUUUUAGCUCCAUUUCACUCGUUUGAUAGAAGCAAGUGUAGAUGACCCGUCGGCAAUAAAUCAGUUUGAGUUUGCUGGCUUCGCCUAGAUGUGGCAAGACAGAAUUAACACUGAUCUGGGAUUUCGUAGUUUUUACUGAAUGUGGAAACUGGGAAAUAAUGUUUGCUAACUGCCCAGGAUUAGAAGGGAACGAAGGAUUCGUGAUGUUGGGCCUGCAUGGGUUGUGGAAGACUAAUUGGAGAGUAAUGGACGUGUUACUGAUGUUGUGCUCUUUAGAGAAGCUUAGCAAUGCUUACAAUGGGCGAAUAUGCCAAAUGAUUUUAUGAGAUUUUUAAACUCAAGAAUAUGAAUAUUGGUUAGUCACUGCAGAAAUGAAACUUGAUUUAUCUAAAAUAUUUUGGUUUACGUGAGGGCUAUCAUCAGCUGAGGAGUAGGAAGGAAGAUGUUCCUAAGACAGCUUUACGCAAAUGACAUAGACAUUACGAAUUUUUAUGGUGUUGCUACCAGCAGAAGAUCAGUGAAAUUUGCUGACGAAAAAGAGCACUUUUUCAAUUCCAAAGCCGCAGCACUGCUAAUGUGUCCAAUUUAACUGAAUAUGGUAUGCUUGCUAGCCUAAACAUAGCAUGAAAAUAGAAAAGUUUUUACAUGAUGAAAUAAGUGGAAAAAAAAGGCC
rnacentral:misc_RNA from 1 species